GUCUCUCCAAGCCGCGGCCACGCUGAUGCCGGCCAAGAUCGGCGGCCGGGCCUCCUCCGUGCGGCCGUCGUCGCACGUCGCCCGGGCGUUCGGCGUCGACGCUGCCGCCAGGAUCACGUGCUCCCUGCAAUCCGACAUCAGGGAGGUCGCAAGCAAGUGCGCCGACGCCGCCAAGAUGGCCGGCUUCGCCCUCGCAACCUCUGCCCUCCUCGUCUCUGUAAGCUGACUAAUCUAUUCUAUUGCCGUGCAUGGCCGUUUAUUCUAGUCCAGCUAGCUAGAGUGACUCGCGUGGGUGCAGGGCGCAAGUGCGGAGGGGGCGCCCAAGAGGCUGACCUUCGACGAAAUCCAGAGCAAGACCUACAUGGAGGUGAAGGGUACCGGCACCGCGAACCAGUGCCCGACCAUCGACGGCGGCGUCGACUCCUUCCCCUUCAAGGCCGGCAAGUACGAGAUGAAGAAGUUCUGCCUGGAGCCCACCUCCUUCACCGUCAAGGCCGAGGGCAUCCAGAAGAACGAGCCACCGGCCUUCCAGAAGACCAAGCUCAUGACCCGUCUCACUUACACCCUUGACGAGAUGGAAGGCCCGCUCGAGGUCGGCGCCGACGGCACCCUCAAGUUCGAGGAGAAGGACGGCAUCGACUACGCGGCCGUCACAGUGCAGCUCCCCGGAGGCGAGCGCGUGCCGUUCCUCUUCACCGUCAAGCAGCUCGUCGCCACCGGCAAGCCGGAGAGCUUCAGCGGGCCCUUCCUCGUGCCCAGCUACAGGGGUUCCUCUUUCCUCGACCCAAAGGGCCGUGGUGGCUCUACUGGCUACGACAACGCGGUGGCGCUGCCCGCCGGAGGCAGAGGAGACGAGGAGGAGCUGGCCAAGGAGAACGUGAAGAACGCGUCCUCCUCCACGGGCAACAUCACCCUCAGCGUGACCAAGAGCAAGCCGGAGACCGGCGAGGUGAUAGGCGUCUUCGAGAGCGUGCAGCCGUCAGACACCGACCUCGGCGCCAAGGCGCCCAAGGAUGUCAAGAUCCAGGGUGUGUGGUACGCGCAGCUCGAGUCUAACUAGAGCAUAGCAGAAGUGAAGAUACUCAUCUUUUGUGCAUGCAUACGUGGGUUGGUCGGUGGAGAGGAAAGAAUCGAGGCAAC
rnacentral:lncRNA from 1 species